rnacentral:misc_RNA from 1 species
UGCAGACCCCUCUGCACCCCCGCUG